UCGAGAAUUUUUCACAAUGGGGGAAACCCUGAUGGAGCGACGCCGCGUGGGGGAUGAAUGGCUUCGGCCCGUAAACCCCUGUCAUUUGCGAACAAACCUGGUGGUUGAACAAACUGCCAGCUGAUAGUAGCAGAAGAGGAAGGGACGGCUAACUCUGUGCCAGCAGCCGCGGUAAUACAGAGGUCCCAAGCGUUGUUCGGAUUCACUGGGCGUAAAGGGUGCGUAGGCGGUGGGGUAAGUUUGAGGUGAA
rnacentral:rRNA from 1 species